rnacentral:ncRNA from 1 species
UCCUAUUUUACAGAGCUUCUAUUCCUAUCUAGCCAUGAGUAGGUUGAAGAGAGCUCUAACAUGCCUUGGAGGACUGAACCCACGAUAUUGUGGCAAAAUAAGGGAUGACUUGUGGCUAGGGGUGAAAGGCAAACCAAGAUGAGAUAUAGCUGGUUUUCAGUGAAAUUUAUUUAUGUAGAGCGUAUGAUGUCGAUGGUUCCCAUUUUGCUUUACCAACCCUAGGGAAACUCCGAACACAGGCCGCCAUCCUUAGUACAGACAGAAUAAUUGGGGGUGCUAAGAUCCAUAGUCGAGAGGGAAACAACCUAGAUCAUACGUUAAGGUCACUAAGCAAUCACUUAGUGGAAAAGAAAGUGAUCGAGCGAUGACAACUAGGAGGUGGGCUUGGAAGCAGCCAUCCUUUGAACAAAGCACAAUAGCUCACUGGUCUAGCUCAAUGGCACCGAAAAUGUCUUAAUCUUUACUUAAAUCUUUUUGCCUGCACAACAAGAUGAAUAAAGUAUUCCAGCCAAGGACUUCCACUUAUCAGUAAUAGUAAUCGGAACAUAAUGGUCAAUCAGAUGUCUGGAAGGGAAAAACAUAUAGAACUGAUCGACAAUGGA